GCUGUGAUUGGUGGUUGUGCUGUGAUUGGUGGUUGUGCUGUAUGUGCUGCAUCUCUCAACAGAUGAGAUUGUUACACCUGGCUAUGGAGACGUCGGAUUUGUUGUUGACGGUUCAUCACUGCACUGAAAUUGUAAUGAAUUUCCUCCUCUUCUUCCGAAGAGGAGAGGCGAAACGGAUCAGAGGACCAAUACGCGGCGUGUGAGUGAUUCUGACAUUUGGGACUCAGCCCUUCCUUAUGGACUGACUCCUGAUGGGGCCUCAGAGAACGAAGAGGUAAAAGCUGAGACUUCAGAACACUUCCCCACAUCCUCUCCUCUGACCUGGAACCUAAACGUCCUAGUCCCCAAGUAAUACCAUCAGCUGAUUAGACUGUUAGGACAAUAAUUGCAUGUGUCAGGCAUCCUGGAACUCUGAAAGUGCAUUACACGCCCUAGCAACAGGGAAGAAAGAACCAGGAUUGGGCCGGGGUCCAAGGCCAUUAUAUAAGGAGGGGGGACGUGCAAAUCCUCAAUGUUUUCUCAAUGAGUUUCCUCAAUUUUAUUUAUUUUUAUUUUACCUUUAUUUAACCAGGCAAGUCAGUUAAGAACAUAUUCUUAUUUUCAAAGAGUUUCCUCAAUAAGUAGUUCAUCU